rnacentral:rRNA from 1 species
CAGGCGCGAAAACUUUACAAUGCGGGAAACCGCGAUAAGGGGAUACCGAGUGCCAGCAUAUUAUGUUGGCUGUCCACAUGUGUAAACGGCAUGUGUUAGCAAGGGCCGGGCAAGACCGGUGCCAGCCGCCGCGGUAACACCGGCGGCCCGAGUGGUAAUCACUUUUAUUGGGUCUAAAGGGUCCGUAGCCGGUUUGAUCAGUUCUUCGGGAAAUCUGACAGCUCAACUGUUAGGCUUCCGGGGAAUACUGUCAGACUUGGGACCGGGAGAGGUAAGAGGUACUACAGGGGUAGGAGUGAAAUCUUGUAAUCCCUGUGGGACCACCAGUGGCGAAGGCGUCUUACCAGAACGGGUCCGACGGUGAGGGACGAAAGCUGGGGGCACGAACCGGAUUAGAUACCCGGGUAGUCCCAGCCGUAAACGAUGUUCGCUAGGUGUCAGGGACGGUGCGACCGUUUCUGGUGCCGUAGGGAAGCCGUGAAGCGAACC